rnacentral:rRNA from 3 species
CCUACGGGAGGCAGCAGUAGGGAAUCUUCGGCAAUGGACGAAAGUCUGACCGAGCAACGCCGCGUGAGUGAAGAAGGUUUUCGGAUCGUAAAACUCUGUUGGUAGAGAAGAACGUUGGUGAGAGUGGAAAGCUCAUCAAGUGACGGUAACUACCCAGAAAGGGACGGCUAACUACGUGCCAGCAGCCGCGGUAAUACGUAGGUCCCGAGCGUUGUCCGGAUUUAUUGGGCGUAAAGCGAGCGCAGGUGGUUUAUUAAGUCUGGUGUAAAAGGCAGUGGCUCAACCAUUGUAUGCAUUGGAAACUGGUAGACUUGAGUGCAGGAGAGGAGAGUGGAAUUCCAUGUGUAGCGGUGAAAUGCGUAGAUAUAUGGAGGAACACCGGUGGCGAAAGCGGCUCUCUGGCCUGUAACUGACACUGAGGCUCGAAAGCGUGGGGAGCAAACAGGAUUAGAUACCCUGGUAGUCCACGCCGUAAACGAUGAGUGCUAGAUGUAGGGAGCUAUAAGUUCUCUGUAUCGCAGCUAACGCAAUAAGCACUCCGCCUGGGGAGUACGACCGCAAGGUUGAAACUCAAAGGAAUUGACGG